rnacentral:rRNA from 1 species
UACAGAGGCCCCAAGCAUUAUCCGGAAUCACUGGGCGUAAAGGGUGUGUAGGCGGUUGUGUUAGUCUUUUGUUAAAGUUCUUCGGCUUAACCGAGGAAAUGCAGGAGAAACGGCACGACUUAGAGGUUGCGAGAGGUAAAGGGAACUCAUAGUGUAGGGGUGAAAUCCGUUGAUAUUAUGGGGAACACCAAAUGCGAAGGCACUUUACUGGCGCACACCUGACGCUGAGACACGAAAGCGUGGGAAUCGAACGGG